rnacentral:rRNA from 1 species
UACGAAGGGGGCUAGCGUUGCUCGGAAUCACUGGGCGGAAAGGGUGCGUAGGCGGGUCUUUAAGUCAGGGGUGAAAUCCUGGAGCUCAACUCCAGAACUGCCUUUGAUACUGAGGAUCUUGAGUACGGGAGAGGUGAGUGGAACUGCGAGUGUAGAGGUGAAAUUCGUAGAUAUUCGCAAGAACACCAGUGGCGAAGGCGGCUCACUGGCCCGUAACUGACGCUGAGGCACGAAAGCGUGGGGAGCAAACAGG